CGUAGGUAACCUGCCUGGUAGCGGGGGGUAACUAUUGGAAACGAUAGCUAAUACCGCAUAAUAGCAGUUAUUGCAUGAUAACUGUUUGAAAGGUGCAAUUGCAUCACUACCAGAUGGACCUGCGUUGUAUUAGCUAGUUGGUGGGGUAACGGCUCACCAAGGCGACGAUACAUAGCCGACCUGAGAGGGUGAUCGGCCACACUGGGACUGAGACACGGCCCAG
rnacentral:rRNA from 1 species